rnacentral:rRNA from 1 species
GGAAGUAAAAGUCGUAACAAGGUUUCCGUAGGUGAACUGCGGAAGGAUCAUUACCGAAUCCUACUGGGAAGAGAGGGAAUAUGGAUAGGAUACCUUUCUAUUUCGUGGACCCCUCUUCCUGGUUUCCUUUACCACCUGUGCACCCUUUGUAGGCUCUCGAGAGAGGAUCUACGUUAAUUUAUCUACGCUUUAUGCUACACAAGUCCAGAACGUAUACACACUUUACAACUUUCAGCAAUGGAUCUCUUGGCUCUCGCAUCGAUGAAGAACGCAGCGAAUCGCGAUAAGUAAUGUGAAUUGCAGAUUUUCAGUGAAUCAUCGAAUCUUUGAACGCACCUUGCGCUCCUUGGUAUUCCGAGGAGCAUGCCUGUUUGAGUGUCAUCGAAUUCUCAACCAUGUCUCGAUAUCGAAUAUCAAGCCAUGGCUUGGACUUGGGGGUCGCUGGCGGUGACGUCGGCUCUCCUUAAAUGCAUUAGUGAUGGUCAGCAAGCCUGACGUGCACGGCCUUUCGACGUGAUAACGAUCGUCGUGGGCUGGAGCGUAGGGGUGAGCAGUGAAUCGCUUCCAAUCCCUUAGACUUUCGGUCCUUCGAGACCCUCAGUUACUAGUCAGUCGUGAGGCUGAUGAAAGCAGGGCCCCAAGUUUAGCUUUUAGCUCUUGGAAGGGAUCGACCGUCGUCAAUUUGAUCUCGAUCUCGAUCUUGACAUUGGACCUUCGAGAGACCCAAGCUCUAGUUAUUAGUCGGUCGUGAGGCCGACGAACACAGCAGCCUAGGUUUGAAACUUCGAAGCAAUCGUCUCGUUCUCGUUCUCGAUCAUGAACUCUUGACCUCAAAUCAGGUAGGACUACCCGCUGAACUUAAGCAUAUCAAUAAGCGGAGGA